rnacentral:sRNA from 2 species
CCCUAGCCCCGAUAGAAGCGGCAUCCUUUUAUGAUGGGGUUCAUCAUAAAAAGAUAUAGCGGAUAGCGGGAAUAAGC